GUAAAUGGCAAGCCGAAAACGCGAAUCUAGCCACCCCGAACGUUGAUCCAUGUAACUUUUGUCCCAAUUCCUACAAAAUAAUAUAAACAUGCAUGAAUAGACACAAACACAUAAAAACAUUCUAAAAGACUUGAGAACAACAAUAAAUUAAGCCCGAAUGUAUCCAAUUCAUGUGUAUAAAACUCACUCAUCAAAUCCCCCCAAACUUAAACCUUUGCUUGUCCUCAAGCAAAAACACAAAAAUGUUAUGCAAUGCAAUGUAAUGAAACUAAUCUAUAUGCCUACGACUCCAACAGUAAUGACAGAAACAGGUCUAUUCAACCGGCCUUAGAGAAAUCAAGUAAACAUGAUAAUACAUCAUAUUAAAACAAAUCAGUAAUUUUCCAAUCAAUCAUCAAAUCUUAGACUGUUAUCACUGAUAUAGUGCGUGUGUGCUCCACAACAAUGUUAACUGAUAUAAAAUCAAAUUUAACACAUAAUAGGUCUCUUUAAAGGCAUCAUACAGUGAAAACUCACAAAAUUCACGAACAAGCUAGAUCUAACUAAAGUCAAACAUCCACCAAGUUCAAGAGUCCAAUCCGGGAUACUUAUGCUUUACUUUUCAUUGCGAGGGCUUUUUGCUCUUUUCCUGUUUUAUUGUUUUAUUUUUAUUUUUUUACUUUUUUUUUUAACCAUGACUGUGCAAUGUCUCAUUCCAUUAGGCUAACAGUGUCACCCCUUAGCGAGCUUUCGACCAACGAAUCCCAGACCAUAUAAGACCUUAGGGCGCUAGGUUUUAAGAUACCCCUUCG
rnacentral:lncRNA from 1 species